GAGGGGAGGGGAAAGGGCGGGCAAGCUGCUCUUAAGGCAGGUCUGGAGGUGAUCUGGCUGCCUCUCCUGACUCCUCACCUGGACUGUGAGUCGUCCUGAUCCAGUAGUGAAUGCAACAGCCUGCCCACCUGUGGACACCAGAUCCUGGGAGCUCCUGGUUGGCAAAUGAGAUCUACGGGAUGUCAGUGAGGCUGGUUGAAAACCAGAGGUAAACUGCAGAGGUCGCCGCCCCCACCAUGUCCCAGGUGAUGUCCAGCCCACUGCUGGCAGGAAGCCACACUGUCAGCUUGACACCUCGUGAUGAGCCCAGAAGGUCCCUGCACCCAGCCCCCAGCCCCAGCCUGCCACCCCAGUGUUCUUACUACACCACAGAAGGCUGGGGAGCCCAGGCCCUGAUGGCCCCCAUGCCCUGCAUGGGGCCCCCUGGCCGACUCCAGCAAGCCCCACAGGUGGAGGCCAAAGCCACCUGCUUCCUGCCAUCCCCUGGUGAACAAGCCUUGGGGACCCCGGAGGACCUUGACUCCUACAUUGACUUCUCACUGGAGAGCCUCAAUCAGAUGAUCCUGGAACUGGACCCCACCUUCCAGCUGCUUCCCCCGGGGACUGGGGGCCCCCAGGCUGAGCCGACCCAGAGCACCACGUCAAUGAGAAAGAAGGAAGAACCUGAAGCCUUGGAUAUAAAGUACAUCGAGGUGACCAGAUCCAGGUGCCAUGAUGACCCCCAGCGCUGCUCCAGCCCCUCUGUCACCCCACCCUUCGGCUCCCCUCGCAGCGGUGGCCUCCUCCUUUCCAGAGAUGUCUCCCGAGAGACCCGAAGCAGCAGUGAGAGCCUCAUCUUCUCUGGGAACCAGGGCAGGGGGCACCAGUGCCCUCUGCCCCCCUCAGAGGGUCUCUCCUCUCAACCCCCAAAUUCCCCCAGCAUCUCCAUCCCUUGCAUGGGGAGCAAGACCUCAGGCCCCCAUGGCUUGGGCUCCCCGCUGGUGGCUUCUCCAAGAUUGGAGAAGAGGCUGGGAGGCCUGGCCCCACAGCAGGGCAGCAGGGUCUGCGUGCUGUCAGCCAGCCCAUUGUCUGAUGCCAGCUAUACGUUUGGAAGCAGCCAGUCCCUCCUGCACUCCAGCAUCUCCAGCCAUCAGUCAUCUUCCAGAUCCUUGGAAAGUCCUGCCAGCUCUUCCUCCAGCCUCCACAGCCUUGGCUCAGUGUCCCUUUGUACAAGACCCAGUGACUUCCAGGCUCCCAGAAACCCCACCCUAACCGUGGGCCAACCCAGAUCACCCCACUCUCCACCACUGGCCAAAGAACAUGCCAGCAGUUGCCCCCCAUCCGUCACCAACUCCAUGGUGGACAUACCCAUUGUGCUGAUCAACGGCUACCCAGAACCAGGGUCUUCUCCACCCCAGUGGAUCCCAGGACACCAGGGCUCUGUCCGAACUGGAGCAGCUUCUCCCAGGAACCCCUGUCCAGCCACCAGGAGUCACAGCCAGACCCUGUCAGAUGCCCCCUUCACCACGUGCCCAGAGGGACCCGUCAGGGACAUGCAGCCCACCAUGAAGUUCGUGAUGGACACAUCUAAAUACUGGUUUAAGCCAAACAUCACCCGAGAGCAAGCAAUCGAGCUGCUGAGGAAGGAGAAGCCAGGGGCUUUUGUCAUAAGGGACAGCUCUUCAUACCGAGGCUCCUUCGGCCUGGCCCUGAAGGUGCAGGAGGCCCCCGAAUCUGCCCAGAACCGACCAGGCGAGGACAGCAAUGACCUUAUCCGACACUUCCUCAUCGAGUCUUCCGCCAAAGGAGUGCAUCUCAAAGGAGCAGAUGAGGAGCCCUAUUUUGGGAGCCUCUCUGCCUUCGUGUGCCAGCAUUCCAUCAUGGCCCUGGCCCUGCCCUGCAAACUCGCCAUCCCGCAGAAAGGGCCUGUUGCUUUGUCUUGGCUCAGAACUGGGAGGUGCAGACGGGGCAUCGGACUCUGCAGACAGCCCAGCCUCCUGCCAGAAGAAAUCUGUGGGCUGCCACACCCUGUACCUGAGCUCGGUGAGCGUGGAGACCCUGACUGGAGCCCUGGCUGUGCAGAAGGCCAUCUCCACCACCUUUGAGAGGGACGUCCUCCCCACACCCACCGUGGUCCACUUCAAAGUUACAGAGCAGGGCAUCACCCUGACCGAUGUCCAGAGGAAGGUGUUUUUCCGGCGACAUUACCCACUCACCACCCUCCGCUUCUGUGGUAUGGACCCUGAGCAACGGAAGUGGCAGAAGUACUGCAAGCCCUCCUGGAUCUUUGGGUUUGUGGCCAAAAGCCAGACAGAGCCUCAGGAGAACGUGUGCCACCUCUUUGCGGAGUACGACACGGUCCAGCCAGCCUCGAAGGUCAUCAGCCUGGUGACUGCUCUGCUGCAGGAUGCAGAAAGGAUGUAGGGGAGGGACUGCCUGUGCACCUGCCUGACGCCUCCAGGGGCGUGCUCAGGAGCCCUCCUGUACCCCCUGAAUGGGUGUGGCUUGUGGCCAUAUUGGAUUGGCAUCAAUUCAAUUGGGAUUGGCAUCAAGUUGACACCCUGGAACCUGCUGUGGCCUUCAGCAGUCACCAUCAUCCAAACCCCCCGGGCCUCAGUUUCCUCAACCGUAGAAGGAGACCAAUAGACAAAAUCAGCUGUUCUCAGAUGCUGGCAGGCAUCCUGAUGAAUGAACGCGCUGAGAGUUCGUCAUGAUGAACAUGCUCCUCCGUGAUUCUGAAGCAUGCCCACAUCUGAGGACCCCGCCAUGAAAAUAACCUCUGAGAACCCUCUGACCCCAUCGACCUGGGCUCUGUGGACACCAUAGUCUGAGCGAGAGACCUGCGGCCCCUGUUUCAUGGCAGACAGCAGGUGCCUGGCGGUGACCCAUAGGGCUCCAGGCCUGCAGCUGGUGAUGGUCAAGGAUUGACCACAAAACGGGAAUGGAUAGACUCU